AGUGAACGCUGGCGGCAGGCCUAAUACAUGCAAGUCGAACGGCAGCACAGCAGAGCUUGCUCUGUGGGUGGCGAGUGGCGGACGGGUGAGGAAUACAUGGGAAUCUGCCCAGUCGUGGGGGAUAACGUAUGGAAACGUACGCUAAUACCGCAUGCGCCCUAAGGGGGAAAGCCGGGGACCGCAAGGCCUGGCGCGAUUGGAUGAGCCCAUGUUCGAUUAGCUAGUUGGCGGGGUAAAGGCCCACCAAGGCGACGAUCGAUAGCUGGUCUGAGAGGAUGAUCAGCCACACUGGAACUGAGACACGGUCCAGACUCCUACGGGAGGCAGCAGUAGGGAAUAUUGGACAAUGGGGGCAACCCUGAUCCAGCCAUGCCGCGUGAGUGAAGAAGGCCCUCGGGUUGUAAAGCUCUUUUGUCCGGAAAGAAAAGCAAUCGGUUAAUACCCGGUUGUUCUGACGGUACCGGAAGAAUAAGCACCGGCUAA
rnacentral:rRNA from 1 species